rnacentral:ncRNA from 1 species
GAAGAAGCAAUAGCGAAAUCGUAGCCUUACGAACAGGAACAAGGUAUCAAGGCGUUAUGAGCGGAUAAGUUGGCCAAAAGCAACGAAGUCCAAAAGACAAACGUAAACUCAUAGCGUAAACCUUGAAGGUAGACGAGGAAAGAA